GUAGCGAUACAUGGAGCGGACAAAUACUAAUCGAUCGAGGACUUAACCAA
rnacentral:rRNA from 3 species